rnacentral:rRNA from 1 species
CACGUAGGAGGCGAGCGUUGUCCGGAAUCAUUGGGCGUAAAGAGCGCGCAGGCGGCUUGGCAAGUCGGGUGUGAAAUCCCGGGGCUCAACCCCGGGACUGCAUUCGAUACUGUCAGGCUAGAGGUAGGUAGGGGAGAUCGGAAUUCCUGGUGUAGCGGUGAAAUGCGCAGAUAUCAGGAGGAACACCGGUGGCGAAGGCGGAUCUCUGGGCCUUACCUGACGCUCAGGCGCGAAAGCUAGGGGAGCAAACGGG